GUCCACGCCGUAAACGAUGUGCACUAGGUGUUGGAGGUACUUAAUCCUCCAGUGCCGCAGCUAACGCAUUAAGUGCACCGCCUGGUGAUUACGGCCGCAAGGCUAAAACUCAAAGGAAUUGACGGGGGCCCGCACAAGCGGUGGAGUAUGUGGUUUAAUUCGACGCAACGCGAAAACCUUACCUGGGCUUGACAUGCUGGGAUUAGUCCCGAGAAAUCGGGACGAUUGCCUUCGGGUGUAACCAGCACAGGUGCUGCAUGGCUGUCGU
rnacentral:rRNA from 1 species